UCAACCAAUCAGCGUGUAGAACCGGAGCACAUAAAAGAACGUGCUCGGCAUUUCCUCUUCCUCUUUCCUGCGGUGGUGGUGAAGGAGAAGAGGAAGCCGGAAUGUUCCGAGCUCUCGGCGUGGUCCAGAUGUGGCCCGGUGGCUGAAGACGUGAUCCUGAGCUGAUGCUUUAAGAUGAAUGCAGGUUAAUCUUGCUGAAAGGACAUGAAGAAGAGUUAAAAGACUGGUGCUGAAUCAGCGGUCUGAUGUCGGCGGUCCGAUGUUGGUGGUCUACCUUGACUCAGGAGGGAGUCUGAGGCCUGAUGUUGGACCAUGUUCAACCUGAUGCAUCAGGAUGGAGCAGAUAAACAUCACCUGAUGCAGACUUUGAGGACCUACUGCUUACUCUGAUCACAUGACUAGCAGCUGAAAACUCAUCAGAUGAAUGAUCUUUUACUUUGCAUAUUGUCUGCAUUAAAAAAAAAAAAAAGAGAAAUAAAAUGUUUUUAUAAAAUAAA